UAGGGAAUCUUCGGCAAUGGACGAAAGUCUGACCGAGCAACGCCGCGUGAGUGAAGAAGGUUUUCGGAUCGUAAAACUCUGUUGUUAGAGAAGAACAAGGACGUUAGUAACUGAACGUCCCCUGACGGUAUCUAACCAGAAAGCCACGGCUAACUACGUGCCAGCAGCCGCGGUAAUACGUAGGUUGCAAGCGUUGUCCGGAUUUAUUGGGCGUAAAGCGAGCGCAGGCGGUUUCUUAAGUCUGAUGUGAAAGCCCCCGGCUCAACCGGGGAGGGUAAUUGGAAACUGGGAGACUUGAGUGCAGAAGAGGAGAGUGGAAUUCCAUGUGAAGCGGUGAAAUGCGUAGAUAUAUGGAGGAACACCAGUGGCGAAGGCGGAUCUCUGGUCUGUAACUGACGCUGAGGCUCGAAAGCGUGGGGAGCAAACAGG
rnacentral:rRNA from 1 species